rnacentral:rRNA from 1 species
GACGUAGGGCGCGAGCGUUUGUCCGGAUUUAUUGGGCGUAAAGAGCUCGUAGGCGGCUUGUCGCGUCGACUGUGAAAACCCGCGGCUCAACUGCGGGCUUGCAGUCGAUACGGGGCAGACUAGAGUGCUGUAGGGGGAGACUGGAAUUCCUGGUGUAGCGGUGGAAAUGCGCAGAUAUCAGGAGGAACACCGGUGGCGAAGGCGGGUCUCUGGGGCCGAUACUGACGCUGAGGAGCGAAAGCGUGGGGAGCGAACAGG